rnacentral:rRNA from 1 species
GGAAAGGCGCGCGAUACAGGGUGACAGCCCCGUACACAAAAAUGCACAUGCUGUGAGCUCGAUGAGUAGGGCGGGACACGUGGUAUCCUGUCUGAAUAUGGGGGGACCAUCCUCCAAGGCUAAAUACUCCUGACUGACCGAUAGUGAACCAGUACCGUGAGGGAAAGGCGAAAAGAACCCCGGCGAGGGGAGUGAAAAAGAACCUGAAACCGUGUACGUACAAGCAGUGGGAGCACGCUUAGGCGUGUGACUGCGUACCUUUUGUAUAAUGGGUCAGCGACUUAUAUUCUGUAGCAAGGUUAACCGAAUAGGGGAGCCGAAGGGAAACCGAGUCUUAACUGGGCGUUAAGUUGCAGGGUAUAGACCCGAAACCCGGUGAUCUAGCCAUGGGCAGGUUGAAGGUUGGGUAACACUAACUGGAGGACCGAACCGACUAAUGUUGAAAAAUUAGCGGAUGACUUGUGGCUGGGGGUGAAAGGCCAAUCAAACCGGGAGAUAGCUGGUUCUCCCCGAAAGCUAUUUAGGUAGCGCCUCGUGAAUUCAUCUCCGGGGGUAGAGCACUGUUUCGGCAAGGGGGUCAUCCCGACUUACCAACCCGAUGCAAACUGCGAAUACCG